rnacentral:rRNA from 1 species
CUACUGGGGUAUCUAAUCCCGUUCGCUACCCUAGCUUUCGUGCCUCAGCGUCAGUUAAGACCCAGUGUGCCGCUUUCGCUACUGGUGUUCCUUCCGAUAUCAACACAUUUCACCGCUCCACCGGAAGUUCCGCACACCCCUAUCUCACUCAAGCCGCCCAGUUUAGAGCGCAGUUCCCCGGUUGAGCCGGGGGAUUUCACACCCUACUUAAGCGACCGCCUACGCACCCUUUAAGCCCAGUGAUUCCGAAUAACGUUCGCACAGUACGUAUUACCGCGGCUGCUGGCAC